rnacentral:rRNA from 1 species
UACGAAGGGGGCUAGCGUUGCUCGGAAUCACUGGGCGUAAAGCGCACGUAGGCGGUUCGUUAAGUCAGAUGUGAAAGCCCCGGGCUCAACCUGGGAACUGCAUUUGAAACUGGCGGGCUUGAGUGUGGCAGAGGGGGGUGGAAUUCCGCGUGUAGCAGUGAAAUGCGCAGAUAUCGGGAGGAACACCAAUUGCGAAGGCAGCUCGCUGGGACGUUACUGACGCUGAGACGCGAAAGCGUGGGGAGCAAACAGG